ACGCAUUUGUGCCAAGCUCAGGAUGCUGUUGGCCAGCAUGCUUGAUUGGCAGACAACCUGACAUGCAUUAAUGCUAGGCUAGCCUUCCAAUUCUUUGGACAGACACGCCUCCUUUUUGGGCAUGUUCGUCCCAUUCAGGACUUCUAGUUACAUGAUCCUUGUCAGUGGCCCACCCCUUUACCCCGUCCAUAGACUUCCUGCUUCACUAGAC